AAGGCUAAACCCAGAGCGUGCUCCGACAUUCUUGCUUGAUGUGGGGAGCGGAGUGGACUGCAGCGAAGCGAUGAGUGUUAGAUAUCACAGGGACAUCCGAGGCGAAAGUGCCGCUGAUCACAAUGACGGUGAGGGAGAAAAGUUAGGGGAGCAACCGGAUUAGGUACCUUGGUAGUCCUGCCCUUAACUAUCAGAACUGGGCGUGGGCCCUGUACUGGGCUCAUGCGGUAGCUAACGCGUUAAGUCCUGCGCCUGGGGAGUUCGGUUGCAAGGCUGAAACUCAAUGGAAUUGACGGGGGCCUGCACCAGCGGUGGUACAUGUGGUUCACUUAGAUGUAUAGAGAGGAACCUUACCUGGUUCUCAAGUGCACAGGACGAUGUUUAGAAAUAAAGACUUCCCGCAAGGGACCUGUGUAGAGGUGCUGCAUGGCAGUCGUCAGCUCGUGCCAUGAGGUGUUGGGUUAAGUCCCGCACCGAGCGCAAUCUUACAAUUAGUUGCCACCCGCAAGGGGGAACUUUUGGAGGACUGCUCCGGAUAACGGAGAGGAAGGGGGGGAUGAGGUCAAUUCAGCAUGGCCCUUAUGUCCAGGGGUACACUAAUGUUACAAUGAGCGCUUCAUAGGGUCGCGAACCCGCGAGGUGGAGGUAAUCGCAAAAAAACGCGCUCAGUUAGGGUAGCAGUAUUCAACUCCAUUGCAUGAAGCUGGAAUCGCUAGUAAUGGCGUAUCAUUCAGACGCCGUGAAUACGUUCCCGGGCCUUGUACACACCGCCCGUCACUCCACGAAAGUGAGCUGUACUAGAAGUCGUCGCGCUAACCGCAAGGAAGCAGACGCCCAAGGUAUGACCCAUGAUUGGGGUGAAGUCGUAACAAGGUAACC
rnacentral:rRNA from 1 species